ensembl:lncRNA
AUAUUGUGACCUCGACGUCCGACCUGUUCCAGAUCGUCGGUGAUGAAAGACAAGCUGCUCGUGCCGCUUGGAAAACACUUCUGUUCCGGUAGGAGGCGUCUAAUGGGGACGUCGACGGCCCCGAAAGAGGGCCGCCGCCGCCGCCGCCGACACCUCGGGGACUCGGAACGAGUGCAGCCGCCGCGACAAUCGGCGCCCGUCGGCGUCACAAUGACGAGGACGCAUCAGGACUCGGCGUUCCACGAACUUCAUCCGAACCUGCGAAGCGUCAAAGGUUUGCAGAGAAAGCCACAUGCGUGACGGUAUCGCACCUUUCUGUGCUUUCGUUCUCUGGCUACAGAUCACGCGGCUGACGGAUGAGACGUGGCGUGUUCCUGUGCGCUGCGUUCUGAGGGGCUCCGUCAUAAGAGAUACGAAAACCUCUUCCUGUGCACGUCAAGGUCCAAUGAGCCAGACGUCGCACAUCCAUCACCUCAUCGUAACGAUCCAACAGGGGCUGGAAACCGGCCGGACGCGGCUCAAUCGCCACCGCAAACAACGCUACGCAGAAUGUCUCUGGACCGCCGAUGCCCAAUGUGUCCUACGUGCGGCAGAUGGAUCUGACGCCCUCGGCGUUUUCCAGGAGUUUUCCCGGCCGGCGAGGGACGGUGGGAGGACGGUGACGUCAGCGCGCGCCCUCGAGCGGACGGGGACGAGGUCCGAAAGGCCGUUUAGGGCUUAUUGGAGGGGGUGA